rfam:Haloquadratum sp. J07HQX50 genomic scaffold scf7180000001540, whole genome shotgun sequence.
GAAGGCGGCCAAAGCGGCAGGGAAAGACCCGUACCCAUCCCGAACACGGCUGUGAAGUCUGCAAGCGUCACCGGCGGUACUGGAGUAAGAGAUUCUCUGGGAGUGCGGUGUCGCCGCCUACC